rnacentral:tRNA from 1 species
GCGGUUGUGAUCUAAUGGUUAUGAUAGGGGCCCUCCAAGCCUCUUAUCCGGGUCCGACUCCCGGCGGCCGCA